rnacentral:tRNA from 1 species
CAGGGCGUAGUUUAAUUUGAGAGCAUCGGCUUUGGGUGCCGAAGGUGUGAGUGUGAGUCUCGUCGGCCUGA